ensembl:rRNA 5S_rRNA 5S ribosomal RNA
ACCGGCAGCCAUAUCACCCUGGAGUCCAAGACUAGUUGCCCACUGAAGCUAAGCAGGGUUGAGCCUGGUCAGUACCUGGAUGGGAGACCUCCUGGGAAAACUAGGUUGCUGCUGGAA